UACAGGAGGUCUCAAGCGUUGUUCGGAUUCAUUGGGCGUAAAGGGUGCGUAGGUGGCGCCUGUAAGUCAGGUGUGAAAUCUCGGAGCUACAACUCCGAACUGCACUUGAUACGUGGCGGUGCUCGAGUACUGGAGGAGGAGAUUGGGAAAUUUACGGUGUAGCAGUGAAUGACGUAGAUAUCAGGAGGAAUACCGAGUGGAG
rnacentral:rRNA from 1 species